CACCUUCGUGUAAAAUGUAGAUCGAAUGCCAAGUGCCUUUGCUUUCUCUUUAGGUAUAUAAUUUGGGAUAUAGAAGCGGAUAUUUCACAACUAGCGAAGACUUCCUUCUCUAUAGUUGUCUUUAGGCUGUUGCGUUGCUGGUCACGGGAUCAACCACAAAAGUAUGUAGAUUGAAAUUUGAAACUGCAUGUGUUUUGAGAGUUCACAGUACCCGGAAUUCCAAGUAACGCGGUCUUUAUGACGUAUUGCGUGGGAGUUGUGUUUUCAUAGGAUCAUUUUGGAGGGCGUUUUUCGUGGAAUUUUACACUUCGCGAUCGUUGCACUUAAAAUUCUAGUGUGAAUUUUUAAUAAGGUCUAUAUUAUCACAAUAAGUUUGUAAAUAUUUAUAUUGUCGCAACUCAACUCUUUUUCUUCCCACUGACAAUAACAAUUCAGCAGAGUCUGUAUCAAAUCAAUUUAUAUUAUCAAUAUAGCAUUGGUAAAUUCUGAACGCUGAUUGGCUAAGAGCCGUGUUGAUAUAACUCAAUGUCAACACGGAAACGUCGGAAAAUUUCUUUCUUUAUAUUUCUUUGUGCUAUAUUAGGCAAAAAAAAUAUGUGGGUUUCCCGACCCUACCCAGCUUUUGGACGUCGAAAUUCCGACCCUAAACUUUUUUAUUGGAUCAUGCUUGUAAGUGUUAACACUUAAAGGAAAAAGUUUGUGGAAAAUUGAAAUUUGAGGCAAUAUUAGGGAAAUUUAUCUUUGGACGUGGAAGCACUGACUAAACAAAAUGUCGUCCGGUUGUUAGGAAAAUUAAAAAAAAGUUAAAAAAAAAAAGUUAAAACCGACCUACCCUACCUAAGUAUUUAUAAGAAGAAACCGGAAACCCACAUAUUUUUUUGCCUUAUAAAACAAAUAUAAAACAUUUUUUUCCGUAUUGAUAUACAGUUAUAUCAACACUCGUGGAAAUUGGG